AUUAUAUGUAAUUAUUAUGAUUAUAUUUAAUUAGCCACGUAAUUUGAAGUAUUAGAUUAGGCUUCGGCUUAUGAUAACUCUGAAAAUUUAAUGGCAUUCUUCUCUUUAGUUUUAAUCUUUGAUUGAAACGUUAAUUCAGGCCUAAAAACCUGAAUCUAUAUCAAUGUUAAAUUUUAAUUUAUCAAAACUAUAUUCUAAUUAUUAAUUAAUUUUAAUUUUUAA
rnacentral:misc_RNA from 1 species